UACGUAGGGGGCAAGCGUUGUCCGGAUUUAUUGGGCGUAAAGAGCGUGUAGGCGGCCAGAUAGGUCCGUUGUGAAAACUCGAGGCUCAACCUCGAGACGCCGAUGGAAACCAUCUGGCUAGAGUCCGGAAGAGGAGAGUGGAAUUCCCGGUGUAGCGGUGAAAUGCGCAGAUAUCGGGAAGAACACCCGUGGCGAAGGCGGCUCUCUGGGACGGUACUGACGCUGAGACGCGAAAGCGUGGGGAGCGAACAGG
rnacentral:rRNA from 1 species